AGACGUAGGAUCCGAGCGUUGUCCGGAUUUACUGGGCGUAAAGGGUGCGUAGGCGGCGUGGUAAGUCUCAUGUGAAAUCUCCCGGCUUAACUGGGAGGGGUCAUGGGAAACUGCCAUGCUCGAGGGCAGCAGAGGAGAGCGGAAUUCCGGGAGUAGCGGUGAUAUGCGUAGAUACCCGGAGGAACACCCGUGGCGAAAGCGGCUCUCUGGGCUGUACCUGACGCUAAGGCACGAAAGCGUGGGGAGCAAACCGGAUUAGAAACCCCAGUAGUCC
rnacentral:rRNA from 1 species